UACGUAGGGGGCAAGCGUUGUCCGGAUUUAUUGGGCGUAAAGAGCGUGUAGGCGGCCAGGUAGGUCCGCUGUGAAAACUCGAGGCUCAACCUCGAGAUGUCGGCGGAAACCAUCUGGCUAGAGUCCGGAAGAGGAGAGUGGAAUUCCUGGUGUAGCGGUGAAAUGCGCAGAUAUCAGGAAGAACACCAAUGGCGAAGGCAGCUCUCUGGGACGGUACUGACACUGAGACGCGAAAGCGUGGGGAGCGAACAGG
rnacentral:rRNA from 1 species